rnacentral:rRNA from 1 species
UGAGCAAUCUGCCCUUCUCUUUGGAAUAAGCGUUGGAAACGACGUCUAAUGCCGAAUACGACCUCCUUUCGCAUGAUCGGAGGUGGAAAGCUCCGGCGGAGAAGGAUGAGCUCGCGGCCUAUCAGCUAGUUGGUGUGGGUAAUGGCCCACCAAGGCGACGACGGGUAGCCGGCCUAAGAGGGUGACCGGCCACACUGGGACUGAGACACGACCCAGACUCCUACGGGAGGCAGCAGG